UCUAAAUAACAAAAAUUAGCAGGAUAAAUAUAAACCUAAGUUUUAGGGGAAAUUAACCAGGGAGGAAAUUAAAACCUUCAAUUGGACAAUAAUGGAGAAGUUAAAGGAGAAGGAGAAGGAGAGAGUAGGUAGCCAUCACUAUGCCGCCACGGCGCCACCACUAUGCCGCCAUUAUUGCUAGGGUUAGAGGGAGUCGAGAGAGAGGGGAAAGAGGUGUGAGAGGGUUGACCUGAGUUAGGGGAAAGAGAGGCGAAAGAGAGAGGAAAGAGAGGCGAAAGAGAGGGGAAAGAGGCGAAGCAGACCUUGGGAUGCGCCGAUCUAGGGGUAUCGCGGGCGAUCUAGUGAGGGGAAAGAACGAUCAGGCAGAUCAUUUUUUCAUUUCUUUUCUCUGCUUCACCUCUAAUUUCUU
rnacentral:lncRNA from 1 species